CUCCUUAGUCUAGCCACUGAAGACUGACGAGGCCCAGGGCCCCUGGCCCCAUCUACCUUCACUGCAUCAGAGCCCAGGGUAACUCUACUAGCAGCAGGUCAGAGGGACACAGAGCCUGGGCCUCUAGGAGCAGACGACACAGAGUAGUGAAGACCAGACCUGGAGCUCCCGCUGCAGCGAGAGACAAAGGCCCCACCAAACCCAGAAGUCGUCCUGUUCGCUUCAGCUUCAUGCCUGAUUUGAGGAUUUCCUGCCCAGCGUCCCUGACUGGAUAAUGCUUAAGGCUCCGCCCCUUCAGGCCCUGAGUGACAGAAGAUGUCAUCAGAUGCUGGGCUGAGUGAAGAAAGACUGACAACCUAAGCUGCAGCCUUUUCAGGCAGGGUUUCCUCCCUGAGCUGAGCCAAGCCCACCCCAGAGCUUGGGGAAAUUCUCUCUCUUCUUUACUCUCUCUUUUUGAAUUUAUUCAAAAGGUGAACAGAAGUAUUUUGCUUUCAUAUUAAUAAUACAUAAAAUUUUUGUUCAAGAGAAAAUCAACUUUUACUUUGGUAGUAGUGUAUUUUGAAUACUAAAGCUAAUUUUAAUAAACCUUAUAAAUAAAUCAAAUUUGUCAUUUUUGACCUCUCAAGAUUUACAUAUAUAUUUUGUAAUCUCUUGUAAUUUUUUAAAUUUUUUCUAUUUUGUUUUUACCUAUAUUCUUUUUAUUAUUUCAAUUCAAAACAACCUUUAAGUAAUUUCAAACUGUUAUAGGAGAUAGAAAGAAGUCAUUUAGGGCCAGCCACGGUGACUCACGCCUGUAAUCCCAACACUUUGGGAGGCCAAGGUGGACAGAUCACUUGAGGUCAGGAGUUUGAGACGAGCCUGGCCAACAUGGUGAAACCCCAUCUCUACCAAAAAUACAAAAAAUUACCCAGGCGUGGUGGUGCACACCUGUAGUCCCAGCUACUCUGGAGGAUGAGGCAGGAGAAUCAAUUGAACCCAGGAGGCAGAGGUUGUGUAAUGGCCCAAGGAGUUCACCUUGCCCUUUGCCUAGACAGAGCCAAUUAAUCAAGAUGGGGGAAUUUGUGGAGGAAAAGUUAAAUAUUAAAUUUGAACUUAAUUGAACAUGGACACAAACAAUAGUCAACAAGUCAUGGAACAGGUUGUGUGAGCCCCUUGAGGCAUUCAUCCAGCGCUGUUUUGGAGAAAUCUCUAUUUUAAUCUAUUCCUAUACAUUAGUUAUUGAAAAACAAUAGACAAUCGCAAAAAAAGUUGAUCUUCUUGUGUUUCUUGAGCCCAGUCGUGAAGGGCCCUCGUGACUGGGCCUCAUGCCAAACAACUCGUUACAAAAAGAGCUAGGAUCCCAGACUGCACCGAAGUUUUGUGAGACCUCUCCUUGUCUGUGCACGGAUGGCUGGAUGACUCUGGAGCCCAAGCUGUUGCUUCCCAGUCUGGUGGUGAACCCUCCAUAGUCCGAUGAGUGUGGUGUCCAACUCUGGAGCCCAGCCUGUUGCUUCCUGGUCUGGUGGUGAGUCUCCAUAGUCUG
rnacentral:lncRNA from 10 species